CCUAUCCUGCGCUCGUUCGUGUUUGCUGCGGUGACACGGUACAGCAGUGAGUGAAAUUUUACUUCAUAAUCACGUAGUCAUAGUGGAUGUGGAGUGGGGAAAGGGAAGUGAGGAAGUGAGAAUAUUAUAUGACAGAUUAUUUGAUAACAUGUCACCUUUAGUGAGUGUUAGUGUGUGUAAUAGUGAGUGUGGUUGAAGGAGCAGUGAUACGUGGCGCUGGGGAGGGAGAGCGGGUGGCUGGCUGGCUGGCUACAUUGUUUUGGUCAACACUGGUCAGUCUUGCCCCACACGCUGUUUUAACCAGUGUUUCCGGAUUCCCGGCAGCUUUUCCCUGUACCGAGCACCGCCAAGCAGCACCAGAGAGGCAGGAAUACGUAAGCAUGAUGAGAUGGAGGUUUUAACUCCACCACCACCACCACCACUACUGUGACUUACACCAGCACCGUAGCCACUUUCACCACCACUAUCACCUCUUCAACAGCACUUGAACCAUCUCCGCCACCAGCACCACAGCCACUUCCUCUACCACCACCACCACCACCACCACCACCACCACCAAGAACACGUGCUCCACCACACUUUCACAGCCACGUGAUCCUGUUGUGGCACCUUUCAGUCAAUCAGCCAAUUAGUUAUUGUACUUUCAAUCCAUUAAUGAGUCAAUGUUUCAGUGUGUAACUCAAUGACAGUAAUAUGUCAGAAAGCAUUAAGAUGUGUGUAUGUUUAGUGGUUAUUGUUCAUCUAACUCUUGGUAAGUUCCUCAUUGUUUCUUCUCUUGUCAUUCAUUGUACUUUCACUUUGCAUUGCCACACUUAAAAAUCAAUAUUUGAGAAAUGUAAUUUAUAACAUUAAACUACCCAAGUUGUCUGGUUAAGGUUUGGUUAACAAAAACUCUUUUAUAUUUCUGGACAGUCAUGUGUCAAUGCAUUGUUGAAAAUACUUUUCAGCAUCCCAUUGUAGGUGAAAAGCAGUGAAAAGAGGCAGUGUGAGGAGACUGAGAAACCCUUCCCUUUUUUCUUUAUUCCCUAGAUGAGACAAGAUGUAAUAUCUUGUCUGGGUCAACUCUUAAGGGAGAUCUUAGCCUGGUAUAUAGAUAGUUAAAUAUAACUGCCAUGUGACAGUGGCCAUAUAACAUUAAAAAUACCUACUAAUGUGCACAGAAUGGCUUUAGAGUAGCAUCCUACUGUAUAUUGAUAAACUAUAUACAAUAAAAUAAUCCCCAAUGUUGUUUACAAUUAAGUGAACAGGAAUGUUGGAAAUACUUAAUGACGUGCAUAGAAUGGGAUUAAAUUGAUGUACUACUGUAUAUUGAUGGACGAGAUUAAGUUCAAAAUAGAGUCCCCAAUAUUGUUUGCUAUUAAGUAGGCAGAGCAGUGCAGUAUAUGUAUGAUAACUGGCCUUUUCU